GUGUGGCUGGCUCAGUGGAUAGAGCGUGUGGCUCUUGAUCUCAGGGUUAUGGGUUCAAGCCCCAUGUUGGAUA
rnacentral:tRNA from 1 species